GUGGGGACGACCCCGCAUGCAUGCUUUAUCGCGGGGACGACCCUG
rnacentral:ncRNA from 1 species